CUGUAGAGCUGGGUGCAAUCACAAUGUUUAAAAGAUAUUUGAACCGGAGCAUGGAAGGGAAAGGUUUAUUGGCCAGACAUGGGCAAAUGAGACCAGCUCAGACAACUUGAUCAACAUGGCUAGUUGUGCCUGUUUCUGUGCUGUAUAAUGUCAUGACUCAAUGAGUAAAGUUUAAAGGGGACACCAGAGAUUGCCAAUGCUGGAAACUUGAGUACUGUACGGUUACUCUUACUAACUCUUCCUUCAGUUAGUCCUGACAAAGGGUCUCGGCCUAAAACGUCGACUGUACCUCUUCCUAGAGAUGCUGCCUGGCCUGCUGCGUUCACCAGCAACUUUGAUGUGUGGUACUGUACAGUUUGUUGGAGGAACUCUGCGUGUUGAGCAGUGUCUGGGGAAAUGUAACAGAAACAUAGAAAAUCUACAACACAUUACAGGCACUUCGGCCCACAAUGUUGUGCCGACCAUGUAACCUACUCUAGAAGUAAUGGAAAAUAGAAAAGACUCUUGGAAUGACUGAAUUCCUUUACUUUGUGAACUGCCUCGGUGUGAUGGUCUUCCUACUCACUGUUCUCUAUCACUGGGUCGACAUUACAUACACGAGAACCACAGCCCUUACUGAAACUUUCUAUGACGCCAGGCCAACAAGAAGUUUUCACAGCCACUGCCGAAGGAGGGUGUAUACACGAGUUUCUGAAUCGGAAUGUGAACAAGUGUCCUGAUUGGUGAUUUUUGAGCCUUGCUUGAGAUAUCUGAAGUUACAGCAGAAAAAAACAGUAAUCUGCACGAACAACGCAGCGAUAGUUUACAGUGAGGACUGAUGACAGCCCUCACUGAUAAACAGGUGAAGUGUUGGGGAGCUGUUCUGUAAUACCACAGUCCAGAAACAGUAGCAUCAGAGUGCCAAGUUGGAUGUUAAGAACUUUGGAUUAUCCGAGCAUCAUAGAACGCCUUUCUCAUCCUUGAAAGCUGAAAACUGAAUUUGAUGCCAUGACCUUCUCAAAGCCAGUGAUUGAAGUGGUGAACCUUGGGCGGAUCUCUUAUGGUAAUGCAUUACAAGCUCAGCAGAAGUUCGUCCGGCGCCAUGUUGACGCCCUGACCCGUCUGCCCACCGAUGAGCCUCCGCUGAAUGCGCUGCUCCUGUGCGAGCAUCCUCCAGUGUAUACUAUCGGCAUACGGACAGCACCAUACCCGAUCGGGGAGGAAGAAAGGUUGAAAGAACUGGGUGCAGAAUUCUACCGGGCAAACCGAGGAGGGCUAAUCACCUUCCAUGGCCCCGGGCAGCUGGUGUGCUAUCCCAUCCUGAACCUGGCCCACUUCAAGAAGAGCGUGCGGUGGUAUGUGGGUGAACUGGAGAGAACCACUGUCCAACUCUGCUACAAGUUUGGUAUAAAAGCGGAGACCUCAUCUGAGACUGGAGUGUGGGUCGGAAACAACAAGAUCUGUGCCAUUGGUUCUUUGCAUCGUCCUGAGAGUUCAAACAAUAGCCUCGGCGAGACCUCUACAGCCAUGGAGAUUCAGUGUGGAAAUGGGUAUUUGUAAUCCUCCACCAUGUCCACACUGACCCCCUUGAUGGAUUGCAGAAGCAUUGAUGAAUUCCAACCAUGGCAUCAACUUCAGAGGACGACGGAGACGGGAGGUCAUCGAUGGUCUCUGCUGCACUGAGAGCCAAGGGCCCAAGUAAAAUGUUGUGUCAUGUAAUCAGGAUGGUGGAAUUGGGAGAAGGUUCUAGAGAACGCUGGGUGAAGAGUUUUCAUGAUGGACACUGAGGUGGGUUGAGCUUUACCGGCAGGAGAUGGUGAGACAAGAAGCUCAAGAGAACCGGCUACAGGAUUUGUUCCAACGAGGAUGUGUGAUUCAAUGGAGUCUUAAGAGGGCAAAUCCUACUGGUGAUCGGUGAAUAGGAGUUGUCGCCAUAACUACAAUGGACACAUCAGCUUUUGGAAGAUCUGAGCUCCAACUUGUGCACAUUUGACUGUUUUAAUUAUGAUGGGCCCUUUUGUUUUCUUUCUUCUCUAACAAUGGUUUGGUUAAGUUAGCAUUUAUAAAUAAACUUUAUAAUUGUAUGCAGUAUACGAUCUGUUAUUUCUUGCCAAUGGGCAAUUGCAUGAGGGUAGUAUUUACAGUAUUGACACAGAUCGGGAUUUGGGUGUGUUAGACAUCAGAACUUCCUGGUUUUGGUGGGACCCAAGUUUUAUUGAUCCUAGACAUAUGGAGUCUGAGAAAGGUGGUGUUUUCACUGCUGAGUCCGUUGGCUGUUAGCGAGGGGCUGACAAGCCACAUCUCUAGAGACAUCCAAUAAAAAGGAGUUUCAGUUACAAGAAACAUAAGGUUGUGAUAGGAGAUUUUAAAUUGCCAUGUAUUUACUGGAACUCCCAGACAGUAAAAGGGCUGGAUGGGAAAGAGUUUGUCAAAUGUGUUCAAGGAAGUUUCCUUACUCAGUACAUAAAUGUCCCAACGAGAGACAGUGUGAUGCUAGAUCCCCUAUUAUGGGUUGAGACGGCAGUUGACAGAGGUUUGUGUAGGGGAACACUUAGCAUGUAGUGAUGAUAAUGACAUUAGUUUCAAGGUAAUUAUCGAAAAGGGUUGAUUUGCUCCUCAGGUUGAGGUUCUAAAUUGGAGAAAGGCUGACUAUCAAAAAG